rnacentral:rRNA from 1 species
AUAGUAGAAACAAAGGGAUAUAUUGUUUAUGAUGUGGUCUACUCCAUUAUCAAAUUAGUAUUGCUUCUACCAGUGGCAACGAUAAGUGUUGAAGGGGCAUUUUGUGCGAUGAAUUUAGUGAAGCAUAAGUUGAGGAGUACGAUGAGUGAUAGUCUUUUGGAUAAUUGUCUAGUCACAUUAAUAGAGCGAGAUUUUCUCUUCAAGAUAAAAGAUGCUGAUGUAAUUGAGACUUUCAUGGCCAUGAGAAAGCGUUAUUUGGAGAAGAGCAAGAACUAG